AGUGAACGCUGGCGGUAGGCCUAACACAUGCAAGUCGAACGGCAGCACAGUAAGAGCUUGCUCUUACGGGUGGCGAGUGGCGGACGGGUGAGGAAUACAUCGGAAUCUACUUUUUCGUGGGGGAUAACGUAGGGAAACUUACGCUAAUACCGCAUACGACCUACGGGUGAAAGCAGGGGAUCUUCGGACCUUGCGCGAUUGAAUGAGCCGAUGUCGGAUUAGCUAGUUGGCGGGGUAAAGGCCCACCAAGGCGACGAUCCGUAGCUGGUCUGAGAGGAUGAACAGCCACACGGGAACUGAGACACGGUCCAGACACCUACGGGAGGCAGCAGUGGGGAAUAUUGGACAAUGGGGGAGAGCCUGAUCCAGCGAUACCGGGUGGGGGAAGAAGGCGUUCGGGUUGUAAAGCCCUUUUGUUGGGAAAGAAAAGCAGCAGGUUAAUACCCCGCUGUUCUGACGGUACCCAAAGAAUAAGCACCGGCUAACUUCGUG
rnacentral:rRNA from 1 species